UACGUAGGGCGCAAGCGUUGUCCGGAAUUAUUGGGCGUAAAGAGCUCGUAGGUGGUUUGUUACGUCUGCUGUGAAAACCUAGGGCUUAACCCUGGGCCUGCAGUGGAUACGGGCAGACUAGAGGUAGGUAGGGGAGAAUGGAAUUCCCGGUGUAGCGGUGAAAUGCGCAGAUAUCGGGAGGAACACCGGUGGCGAAGGCGGUUCUCUGGGCCGAAAUUGACGCUGAGGAGCGAAAGCGUGGGGAGCAAACAGG
rnacentral:rRNA from 1 species